UACGUAGGGGGCUAGCGUUGUCCGGAUUUAUUGGGCGUAAAGAGCGUGUAGGCGGCCAGGUAGGUCUGCUGUGAAAACUCGAGGCUCAACCUCGAGACGUCGGCGGAAACCAUCUGGCUAGAGUCCGGAAGAGGAGAGUGGAAUUCCUGGUGUAGCGGUGAAAUGCGCAGAUAUCAGGAAGAACACCCGUGGCGAAGGCGGCUCUCUGGGACGGUACUGACGCUGAGACGCGAAAGCGUGGGGAGCAAACGGG
rnacentral:rRNA from 1 species